GACGAACGCUGGCGGCGUGCUUAACACAUGCAAGUCGAACGGUGAAGCGCCUUCCUUUUUGGUGGGUGUGGAUGAGUGGCGAACGGGUGAGUAACACGUGAGUAACCUGCCCCCUUCUUCUGGAUAACCGCAUGAAAGUGUGGCUAAUACGGGAUAUUCUGGGUCUGUCGCAUGAUGGGUCUGGGAAAGAUAUUGUUUCGGUGGGGGAUGGGCUCGCGGCCUAUCAGCUUGUUGGUGGGGUGAUGGCCUACCAAGGCGGUGACGGGUAGCCGGCCUGAGAGGGUGGACGGUCACACGGGGACUGAGACACGGCCCAGACUCCUACGGGAGGCAGCAGUGGGGAAUAUUGCACAAUGGGCGAAAGCCUGAUGCAGCGACGCCGCGGGAGGGAUGGAGGCCUUCGGGUUGUGAACCUCUUUCGCCAGUGAAGCAGGCCUGCCUCGUUUGUGGGUGGGUUGACGGUAGCUGGAGAAGAAGCGCCGGCUAACUACGUG
rnacentral:rRNA from 1 species